CUUAAUUUUUUAAAUAAAAUUAUUCAAGACAUAUGAGUGGACAGACAAUGGAGGUCGACAGACCUGGUGAUAAUUGCUUCUAUAGAAAGUUAGCACAUGGCAGUGUCAAUCUCUUGCUUUUCUUCUGAGUAGUAUUUUAUUUAGUUGUAAUUCAAACAAUAAUUUGCUUCUUGAAAUUAAGGAAUUAAUUUUUUUUUUCUUUAUAAAUCUCAGAUCCUGCCUUUACCUGCUCCCUCCUAUACUGAUGUGGUGUAUGUGGUACUGCUGAGCUUGUAUGUGGUGGAAGCAGAAUAUGUGAGGAUUACUACUGCUGCACAUGUUCCAAGGCUUUUUACACAACUUGACCAAUACACUGACCAGCUCAUAAAAGUCUUCAAGAAAAAAGGAGGCGUUGCAGGGAAGAAAAUUAGACAAACUUUGGCCCCAGCCACACAGAAGGAAACCAUUGAAAAGGGGAGGGAGUGUGUCCUCAGGGCACUACCUUUUUACCUGAAUGAAGACCCAAGCAUCCUCUUCAAAGAAUAAUUGCUACAGCUGUUCAGAGGGAGCUGGAACAAAUUACCCUUGCUAUCUUUACCAUCGAAAGAGCUGAUGCCAGCACUCCUCCAGCCGAUGUGGGUAUAACCAUCUAGUGUGUCCUGCAUGACCUGGAAGACCUGGCCUCUGCAUGUGCACUCUUAAUGGGUGGGAUAUAUGCACUGAAUCUCAGUUAACCUCAAGACUGAAAGCUAAGAGACAAUCAAAAGUAUUGAGAUUUAAAGGAUUUAAUUGAGAGAUGAUACUGCACCAGAAAUGUUGAAGGGUGGUGUGUAUAUUAGCGUUCAAGGCAUAUUGUUAUGAGGUGGAAAUAUGUUCAUAUUCAGUUUGUGUUACAUUGUGUGCAUUGUAAAGGUAAUUGCAAUACAUACUAAAAUUAAGGGUAAGUUAGGAGGUUGAUCUGAUAUCCUCGUGUUGGUGUUGUUCCCAGAUCAUCAUACUAAAUGUUGUUCCAGGAUCAA